AUUGAACGCUGGCGGCAUGCCUUACACAUGCAAGUCGAACGGUAACGGCAGCGCGGGAGCUUUCCUGGCGACGAGUGGCGAACGGGUGAGUAAUACCUGGGAACCUGCCCAAUCGAGGGGGAUAACGCAGCGAAAGCUGUGCUAAUACCGCAUAAGAUCUACGGAUGAAAGAGGGGGACCGCAAGACCUUGCGCCAACGGAGCGGCCCAUGGCAGAUUAGCUAGUUGGUGGGGUAACGGCUCACCAAGCCUUCGAUCUGUAGCUGGUCUGAGAGGAUGACCAGCCACACUGGGACUGAGACACGGCCCAGACUCCUACGGGAGGCACCAUUGGGGAAUAUUCCACAAUGGGCGCAACCCUGAUGCACCCAUCCCCCGUGUUUAAAAAAGGCCUCCGGGUUGUAAAGUACUUUCACCGGGGAGGAAGGGAGUAAAUUUAAUACCUUUGCUCAUUGACGUUACCCGUAAGAUAAGCACCGGCUAACUCCGUGCCAGCAGCCGCGGUAAUAAGUAGGGUGCAAGCGUUAAUCGGAAUUACUGGGCGUAAAGCGUGCGCAGGCGGUAAUGUAAGACAGUUGUGAAAUCCCCGGGCUUAACCUGGGAAGGGCAUUUGAGACUGCAUUGCUUGAGUACGGUAGAGGGGGGUGGAAUUUCGUGUGUAGCAGUGAAAUGCGUAGAUAUGCGGAGGAACACCGAUGGCGAAGGCGAUCCCCUGGGCCUGUACUGACGCUCAUGCACGAAAGCGUGGGGAGCAAACAGGAUUAGAUACCCUGGUAGUCCACGCCCUAAACGAUGUCAACUUGGUUGUUGGGUCUUCACUGACUCAGUAACGAAGCUAACGCGUGAAGUUGACCGCCUGGGGAGUACGGCCGCAAGGUUGAAACUCAAAGGAAUUGACGGGGGCCCGCACAAGCGGUGGAGCAUGUGGUUUAAUUCGAUGCAACGCGAAAAACCUUACCCACCUUUGACAUGUACGGAAUUCGCCAGAGAUGGCUUAGUGCUCGAAAGAGAACCGUAACAGGUGCUGCAUGGCUGUCGUCAGCUCGUGUUGUGAAAUGUUGGGUUAAGUCCCGCAAAGAGCGCAACCCCUAUCCUUUGUUGCCAGCGGUCCGGCCGGGAACUCAAAGGAGAAUGCCAGUGAUAAACUGGAGGAAGGUGGGGAGGAAGUCAAGUUAUUAUGGCCCUUACGACCAGGGCUACACACGUCAUACAAUGGCUGGUACAAAGGGUUGCCACCCCGCGAGGCGGAGCUAAUCCCAUAAAAUCAGUCGUAGUCCGGAUCGCAGUCUGCAACUCGACUGCGUGAAGUCGGAAUCGCUAGUAAUCGUGGAUCAGAAUGUCACGGUGAAUACGUUCCCGGGCCUUGUACACACCGCCCG
rnacentral:rRNA from 1 species